rnacentral:rRNA from 1 species
CCUACGGGAGGCAGCAGUGGGGAAUAUUGGACAAUGGGCGGAACCCUGAUCCAGCGACGCCGCGUGAGUGAAGAAGUAUUUCGGUAUGUAAAGCUCUAUCAGUAGGGAAGAAAAUGACGGUACCUGACUAAGGAGCCCCGGCUAACUACGUGCCAGCAGCCGCGGUACUACGUCGGGGGCAGGCGUUAUCCGGAUUUACUGGGGGUAAAGGGAGCGUAGACGGUGCAGCAAGUCUGAUGGGAAAGGUCGGUGCCCAACCCCAGGACUGCAUUGGAAACUGUUGAACUGGAGUACAGGAGAGGUAAGCGGAAUGCCUAGUGUAGCGGUGAAAUGCGUAGAUAUUAGGAGGAACACCAGUUGCGAAGGCGGCGUACUGGACUGUAACUGACGUUGAGGCUCGAAAGCGUGGGGAGCAAACAGGAUUAGAUACCCUAGUAGUC